GACUCUGGAGUGCAAUGAAUUGCACGUUGGGCUUCUAAUCCAAAGAUCGUGGGUUCGAAUCCCACCUGGGAAAGCCU